rnacentral:ncRNA from 2 species
GGAUGAAACUCUGAAGAGACUACUCCCGGGAAACGGAGUGGCGCCGAAGGGGACGAAAGCUCUCAGGCAAAAGAACAGGGAUGUUGGC